GGUCUGUGGCUGCUGAACCUGGAGAGGGGAGGGGCGAAAGUCAAAAGGCGGGACCUGCUCGAGAGGCACUUGAGUUCUGAGAGCCUAGGCUUCAAGGCGAGGUGGUUUCUCCUGUGUGCGGGGCAAGCACUUUAAUGACUGAGCUAUCUCCCUAGCUGCAGGCUCAACUUUAAAAAUAGCCGAGAUACACAUCAAGCAAGUAUUUAAACCUUUUCCACAUAAAGUUUUUAGGCCAUCCAUCGUUUUGCCUCACAAGAGAAGUAUGUAUACAUCACUUAAGUAAUUCAAAAUUGUUACCAAGGACAUGGCUCAGAAAGUAGAAUGCUCAAAGCAGGAGCAAGCACGAAUCACUGGGUUCCAUCCCCAGCACCCCAUAAAUGCAGCAUGACGAUGUGUCUGUAACCCUAGCAUUCAAGAAAUGGAAACCGGAAGUUGUUCAGGCUCACCUUCCGCAAACCUGGCCUACAUGAGACACUGCCCACCCAACCCCCAAGAAAGAAAACUAUCACUAAAAGUACUUAAUUAUCAGGCGAUAUCUCCCUAUGAGUAUAUCCCUUACAUUUUUCCACCAUCUGAUCCUGAGUAUGCCCACAAAUCCGUCAAUGAAGGAGGAUCCUGCUAUUCCAAAAGACAAUCAAAUGAUUUUUUUUCUCUUUCUGCCACCCACAUUGCCCACCAUUGCAGAAGAAGGGGGGAAAGUCUUCUGAAAAAUACGAUCUUUGACUCAAGACAGAAAUUCCCACAAGGAAUUGGCCAGACCCAGGCCUGGUCACCAACCUACUGUAAAAAAAAAAAAAAUCAAUAAUGGAGCUGAAAAGUAGUUCAGUGUUGCAGCAGUUUGGUCACCUACCAUGUUUGAGGCCUCCUGUUCAAUCGCCAGUGCUGUAAAAUAAUGAUCUUUACUUCAAUAAGAUUGCUUCCAUAC
ensembl:processed_transcript RIKEN cDNA 4930583K01 gene